AGAGUUUGAUCAUGGCUCAGGACGAACGCUGGCGGCGUGCUUAACACAUGCAAGUCGAACGAUGAUGCCCAGCUUGCUGGGCGGAUUAGUGGCGAACGGGUGAGUAAUACGUGAGUAACCUGCCCCUGACUCUGGGAUAAGCCUGGGAAACCGGGUCUAAUACUGGAUACGACCUUCCACCGCAUGGUGGGGGGUGGAAAGGGUUUACUGGUUUUGGAUGGGCUCACGGCCUAUCAGCUUGUUGGUGGGGUAAUGGCUCACCAAGGCGACGACGGGUAGCCGGCCUGAGAGGGUGACCGGCCACACUGGGACUGAGACACGGCCCAGACUCCUACGGGAGGCAGCAGUGGGGAAUAUUGCACAAUGGGCGAAAGCCUGAUGCAGCGACGCCGCGUGAGGGAUGACGGCCUUCGGGUUGUAAACCUCUUUCAGUAGGGAAGAAGCGCAAGUGACGGUACCUGCAGAAGAAGCGCCGGCUAACUACGUGCCAGCAGCCGCGGUAAUACGUAGGGCGCAAGCGUUGUCCGGAAUUAUUGGGCGUAAAGAGCUCGUAGGCGGUUUGUCGCGUCCGCUGUGAAAGCCCGGGGCUCAACCCCGGGUCGGCAGUGGGUACGGGCAGACUAGAGUGCAGUAGGGGAGACUGGAAUUCCUGGUGUAGCGGUGAAAUGCGCAGAUAUCAGGAGGAACACCGAUGGCGAAGGCAGGUCUCUGGGCUGUUACUGACGCUGAGGAGCGAAAGCAUGGGGAGCGAACAGGAUUAGAUACCCUAGUAGUCC
rnacentral:rRNA from 1 species